GGGGAUUUAGCUCAAUGGUAGAGCGCUUGCCUAGCAAGCACAAGGCCCUGGGUUCGACCCUCAGCUCCG
rnacentral:tRNA from 1 species